GACGAACGCUGGCGGCGUGCUUAACACAUGCAAGUCGAACGAGAAUCUGUGGAUCGAGGAUUCGUCCAAGUGAAGCAGAGGACAGUGGCGGACGGGUGAGUAACGCGUGAGGAACCUGCCUUUCAGAGGGGGACAACAGUUGGAAACGACUGCUAAUACCGCAUGAUACGUAUUGGGGGCAUCCCUGAGACGUCAAAGAUUUAUCGCUGAAAGAUGGCCUCGCGUCUGAUUAGCUGGUUGGUGAGGUAACGGCCCACCAAGGCGACGAUCAGUAGCCGGACUGAGAGGUUGACCGGCCACAUUGGGACUGAGAUACGGCCCAGACUCCUACGGGAGGCAGCAGUGGGGAAUAUUGGGCAAUGGGCGCAAGCCUGACCCAGCAACGCCGCGUGAAGGAAGAAGGCUUUCGGGUUGUAAACUUCUUUUAAGAGGGAAGAGCAGAAGACUGUACCUCUAGAAUAAGCCACGGCUAACUACGUG
rnacentral:rRNA from 1 species